AGUGAACGCUGGCGGUAGGCCUAACACAUGCAAGACGAACGGCAGCACAGUAAGAGCUUGCUCUUACGGGUGGCGAGUGGCGGACGGGUGAGGAAUACAUCGGAAUCUACUUUUUCGUGGGGGAUAACGUAGGGAAACUUACGCUAAUACCGCAUACGACCUACGGGUGAAAGCAGGGGAUCUUCGGACCUUGCGCGAUUGAAUGAGCCGAUGUCGGAUUAGCUAGUUGGCGGGGUAAAGGCCCACCAAGGCGACGAUCCGUAGCUGGUCUGAGAGGAUGAUCAGCCACACUGGAACUGAGACACGGUCCAGACUCCUACGGGAGGCAGCAGUGGGGAAUAUUGGACAAUGGGCGCAAGCCUGAUCCAGCCAUACCGCGUGGGUGAAGAAGGCCUUCGGGUUGUAAAGCCCUUCUGUUGGGAAAGAAAAGCAGCAGGUUAAUACCCCGCUGUUCUGACGGUACCCAAAGAAUAAGCACCGGCUAACUUCGUG
rnacentral:rRNA from 1 species